rnacentral:rRNA from 1 species
CGGACGGGUGAGUAACACGUGGGUCAUCUACCCCAAGGUGAGGAAUACCGGCGAGAAAUCGCCGACAAUACCGCAUAUCUUUCGCAAGAAAGAAAGCUCGUAAGGGCGCCUGGGGAUGAGCCUGCGCUUGAUUAGUUGGUUGGUGGGGUAAUGGCCUACCAAGACUGCGAUCAAUAGCUGGUCUGAGAGGACGAUCAGCCACACUGGGAUUGAGAACGGCCCAG